GAUGAACGCUGGCGGCGUGCCUAAUACAUGCAAGUCGAGCGAACAGACGAGGAGCUUGCUCCUCUGACGUUAGCGGCGGACGGGUGAGUAACACGUGGAUAACCUACCUAUAAGACUGGGAUAACUUCGGGAAACCGGAGCUAAUACCGGAUAAUAUAUUGAACCGCAUGGUUCAAUAGUGAAAGACGGUUUUGCUGUCACUUAUAGAUGGAUCCGCGCCGAAUUAGCUAGUUGGUAAGGUAACGGCUUACCAAGGCGACGAUGCGUAGCCGACCUGAGAGGGUGAUCGGCCACACUGGAACUGAGACACGGUCCAGACUCCUACGGGAGGCAGCAGUAGGGAAUCUUCCGCAAUGGGCGAAAGCCUGACGGAGCAACGCCGCGUGAGUGAUGAAGGUCUUCGGAUCGUAAAACUCUGUUAUUAGGGAAGAACAAAUGUGUAAGUAACUAUGCACGUCUUGACGGUACCUAAUCAGAAAGCCACGGCUAACUACGU
rnacentral:rRNA from 1 species